rnacentral:rRNA from 1 species
GAUGAACGCUGGCGGCGUGCUUAACACAUGCAAGUCGAGCGGGGCGAAUUUUCUAGCAAUAGGAGAGGAGUUCAGCGGCGGACGGGUGAGUAACGCGUGAAGAACCAACCCUUGUCAAGGGAAUAACAAUGAGAAAUCAUUGCUAAUGCCGUAUAAUGUCGGAGUAUCGCAUGGUAUUCUGAAGAAAGGGGGAAACCCCGGACAGGGACGGAUUCGCGUCCGAUUAGCUAGUUGGCAGGGUAAGGGCCUACCAAGGCGACGAUCGGUAGCCGGUUUGAGAGAGCGAACGGCCACAUUGGGACUGAGACACGGCCCAAACUCCUACGGGAGGCAGCAGUGGGGAAUAUUGCACAAUGGGCGAAAGCCUGAUGCAGCAACGCCGCGUGAAGGAAGAAGGUUUUCGGAUCGUAAACUUCUAUCGAGUGGGAAGAGAAAAAGGACGGUACCACAGUAAGAAGCCCCGGCUAACUACGUGCCAGCAGCCGCGGUAAUACGUAGGGGGCGAGCGUUAUCCGGAAUUACUGGGCGUAAAGGGCGAGUAGGCGGUUAAUAAAGUCAUAUGUGAAAUAACCCGGCUUAACCGGGUAAACGCAUAAGAAACUUAAUAACUAGAGUGCGGGAGAGGCAAGCGGAAUUCCUAGUGUAGCGGUGAAAUGCGUAGAUAUUAGGAGGAACACCAGUGGCGAAGGCGGCUUGCUGGACCGUAACAGACGCUGAGACGCGAAAGCGUGGGGAGCAAACAGGAUUAGAUACCCUGGUAGUCCACGCCGUAAACGAUGAGAGCUAGGUGUCGGGUCGAGAGAUUCGGUGCCGGAGCAAACGCAAUAAGCUCUCCGCCUGGGGAGUACGGCCGCAAGGCUGAAACUCAAAAGAAUUGACGGGGGCCCGCACAAGCGGUGGAGCAUGUGGUUUAAUUCGAAGCAACGCGAAGAACCUUACCAAGGCUUGACAUAUAUUUGAAGGGUUAAGAGAUUAACCUGUCCUACGGGACGAAUAAACAGGUGGUGCAUGGUUGUCGUCAGCUCGUGUCGUGAGAUGUUAGGUUAAGUCCUGCAACGAGCGCAACCCUUGCCGUUAGUAGCGACCGUUGAAAGACGGGCACUCUAAGGGGACUGCCGCGACAAACGCGGAGGAAGGCGGGGACGACGUCAAAUCAUCAUGCCCCUUAUGUCUUGGGCAACACACGUGCUACAAUGGGCGCAACAAAGCGAAGCGAAGUCGCGAGGCGGAGCAAAGCGCAAAAAAGCGUUCUCAGUUCGGAUUGCAGUCUGCAACUCGAGUGCAUGAAGUCGGAAUCGCUAGUAAUCGCGAAUCAGCAUGUCGCGGUGAAUACGUUCCCGGGCCUUGUACACACCGCCCGUCACACCAUGGGAGUUGGAAGCGCCCGAAGUCCGCGGCCUAACCGGCAACGGAAGGAGCGGCCUAAGGCGAAGUCAGCGACUGAGGUG